rnacentral:rRNA from 1 species
ACGAACGCUGGCGGCGUGCCUAAUACAUGCAAGUAGAACGCACAGUUUAUACCGUAGCUUGCUACACCAUAGACUGUGAGUUGCGAACGGGUGAGUAACGCGUAGGUAACCUGCCUGGUAGCGGGGGAUAACUAUUGGAAACGAUAGCUAAUACCGCAUAAUAUUAAUUAUUGCAUGAUAAUUGAUUGAAAGAUGCAACUGCAUCACUACCAGAUGGACCUGCGUUGUAUUAGCUAGUAGGUGAGGUAACGGCUCACCUAGGCGACGAUACAUAGCCGACCUGGGAGGGUGAUCGGCCACCCUUGGACUGAGACACGGCCCAGACUCCUACGGGAGGCAGCAGUAGGGAAUCUUCGGCAAUUGACGAAAGUCUGACCGAGCAACGCCGCGUGAGUGAAGAAGGUUGUCGGAUCGUAAAGCUCUGUUGUAAGAGAAGAACGGGUGUGAGAGUGGAAAGUUCACACUGUGACGGUAUCUUACCAGAAAGGGACGGCUAACUACGUG